UGAACCUUACUUUUGAGGUGAAAAGUGAA
rnacentral:piRNA from 1 species